GGGAGUAUUCAGGAUUUUGGAUUAAUUAUAUAGCGCUCUUAUUAAACUUCUAAUGAAGUGAUUCAGGAGACAUUGAUGUAGAAACUGUUGGUCUUUAAAGCUCUCACUCUAUUUCAGAACACAGUCACAUCUUUAUUAACACAGUUCUCUGUUUGCUGACAGGCAAAAUGAGAUGAACUGAGCACCUGUGCAAACCAGGGCAGUGAUUGCAACAGCACGCAGUUAUACGAUGUGUACCUGGCACAGUACUGAAGAGAUGUCAGGCUUAAAAUACCAACACUGAGGUCCUAAUUAAAACAUGCCUGUUGUUUGGCAACCAGUAGCUUUUGAAAUCAAGGAUUUGCGGAAUCAGGCUUUUCUCUCAGAUCUCAUCUCUUCUGCAUUCCAAGUGAACUGAUUUCUUUUGGAUGGGAUUUGGACAAUGAUUGAAAGUGUGAAAGAAGAGUAAUAUGACCUUGGGUUUACUUCUGAGGAAUGCAUUGAAUAGAUAAUCCAUGCUUUAACCCUACUGAUGCUAGCCAAAAAUUUGAUGUGCAAGUCUACACAGAACAGCCUGGAAAAGAAUAGCACAGGCAACACAGGUCCAUCUGGAAGGCCAUAAUGCCUCUGAUGGCCGUGAUGCCAUCAUCCUCGCUGCUGAUGCUGGUGGUACCAUCAGUGUGGAUUUCAGAGAAAGCAAGCUGAGGUUUAUGAAAAUUCUUGAGACUUUGGAGUUUCCUCGCCCCCGCCAGAAUCUGUUGGGUUUGCGGAUAUAAGCAGGGAGAAAAGACUGAUGGAGAGAAUGGAUGCAGUAUUAUGUGACUGACUCAAGUCUGUAGCAUUAACUGCUACUCAGAUUGGGAGCAGGAAUAUGUCUCCUGGAUUCUUGAUGUCUGUUUAAGCCUCUGUGCUAGGAUGCCUCGCUAUUAUGCUUUUAAAGGACAGAUGGUAAUGAGGUCCAAAACAAACUAUUGUUGCUCAAUAUUCUCAAAGAAAAGAUGAAGAAAAUAGAGUACUUCAGUAAUAUCAGCUUUUAGUCAAGAAACAUGCACCUACACCCAUGUAUUAUGCUAGGUAUGUAAUGAAAAAAAAAAAAAGAAACUUCAUUAUAUAAUUGAACUCUUACCAACUAUGUCAUAAUAUUUUGAGUGAUUUUUUUUAUUGUUUUCAUUUCUUAAAGACUAGCUUUCAUUGUUACUUAAGCCAAAUGAUGAUGUAGGCAAUGGAUGUGUGGUCUAGUGUGACAAUUUUCAGUUCUAUGUUUAAUUUACUCUGUUGUAAUAGCACUCAGCUCUUCUCUUACCUAUUUAUUUAACAGAAAUUCAGGAACAUGGAGAAGCAGAGUUCAUUAGCAGACGGGCCCCUCAGUGCUGCUGGGUCUCAGGUU
rnacentral:lncRNA from 1 species